GUGAGUCUGUAUUAAUGGUCAUCUACUGCAGUAAAAAGAUUCCUUGAUGAAGGUGGAGGACUACACUAAUCUAUGGAUAUAAUGCUGGCUAAAAUUCCGUUAUGCCUACGCGCCACGUUUUCGUUAUCCUGUCAUUGACAGGCAUCUAGGCUGUUUCCAUCUCCUAGCUAUUACGAGCAGAGCAGCAAUGAUUUCUCUUGCCCCUCAACCUCCAACUGAAUGUCCACUGAGUGACUUUAUCCUGCCUUCCUUGUUUUUUUUUUUUUCUGGACUCCUCAGCUUCUCAAUGAAUGGGGGAACCUGAGAAUUGGUGAAUUUCCAAAAUAAUGAAUGGAUACAGGUUUUGUUGAAUGCAGGACCUCAGAAGAUAAAGCACGUGGCC